UUUUUUUUUUUUUUUGAGUCAGGGUCUAUGUAGACCAGGUUGGUUUUAAACUUACUGAGAUCCUCCUGUCUCUGCCUCCCAAGUGCUGGUAUUAAAGGCUUAUGCCACCAGGCCUGGCCCCUAUGGCCUUCUAGAACUCCACUAGGGGAGGAUUUUAAGACUUCCCCACCUCCUGGCACCACACACAUAUGCUAGGUAAGCAUUGUUACCACUAAGUCCCCAGCCUUUACUAUGCAUAUUUUAAUUCUUUUCAGAGGUCUCCUUAUAAACCCCAAGCUGAUCUUAAACUUGAGGAUCUUUUAUCUGCAGCCUCUGAUGGCUGGGAUUAUACACCUAUGCCAAUGAUGCUCAGGUUUUAUUUAAAAAACAUGAUACACUGGGGUGGUGAGGUGGCUCAUAGAAAGUGUCUGUCUGUGGCAUAAGCAUAUGGACCUGGGUUUGCAUCCCUAGCAUCAUGUAGAAUCCUGGUGUGCCCUAGAACGUCCGUGCUGGGUGGGCAGAGAAAGGGAGAGUCCCUAGAAGCCUAGGCAAUUGAUGAGAGCAGGUAGAGUAAGAGGUAAGUAAGUUGGUAAGCCACAGGAAUCAAAGACGGGAGGCUGUGGUCCGACUGCUGUGUCUAACUUCUCGCCCGAGUGGAGAGGAAGACAGAGCCUGGCUGUGUUCCUGGCUGGUCUGAUCCUCCCAUCCCGCCUCUCAAGUAUCUGGGGCUGUAGGUGAGACAAACCUACACUGAACAACUCAGGAAGGAAUGGGGCACACCUCUGCACACUCUCCUUCAGGGAGACUUCCAGACUGUCACCAAAACCAGAAACACUACCCUGGGGGAGGGCUACAGGACUUGCACGCAGCACAGAGGCUGCACAGGCUCUCAUCAGCGCCCUGCCUCUCCCCUGUGCAGUCCUCAGCAGCAUCCUCCAGCAGGUCACAGGACUCCUCAUCAGCUCUGUAACAUGGGAGCUGCUCUCAAAAGUGCCUGAUAUGCAACCCAGCAAGAAAGCCGAGAGGAAAGAAGGCUGGCUUUGGUAAUGUGGGGUCACACCGAAGAGACUGGGACUGUGUCAGUUUCCUGUGACAUCCGUAGUAGCCUAAGGAGGUGGAAAUGUUUCCCCUUUUUGGGUCCUGAAACCAAGAUGUCAGCAGAUUGUGCUGUCUGUGAGGGCCAUUUCCCACCAUGUCUACAUAGACAUCUAGGGUUGACUACUGGCUGCUGCCUAACACACACACACACACACACACACACACACACACACACACACACACACGAACAUAUUACCGGUUUGUGUGUCAUCCUUUUGUAAGGACCAUGCUAAUCUCUGUAUUAUUCCAAUUUUAGUAGGUAUACCACUGAAGUGAGCACCCAAUUUUUUUUUUUUUUUUUUUUUAGAUUUAUUUAUUUAUUAUAUGUAAGUACACUGUAGCUGUCUUCAGACACACCAGAAGAGGGCAUCAGAUCUCAUUACGGGUGGUUGUGAGCCACCAUGUGGUUGCUGGGAUUUGAACUUCGGACCUUCAGAAGAGCAGUCGGGUGCUCUUACCCACUGAGCCAUCUCACCAGCCCCAUAGCACCCAAUUUUUAAUUUCCAUUCUCCUGCCUCCCUCUUGAGAAGCUGGGCCAUAGCUAUGUACCACUAAAGUUUUAUUUCAAAGAGCUCUCGAGGCAGUGCUAGGACAUGAUUAUUAAUCUUAGUUUUGCUAGGUCUCUCAAAUUCUAAGGAUUAUUAGAAGUAGGAUUCCAAGGAGAAGCCAAGGCUAUGUUCCAUAAGUUGUGCCUGAAGGGGUCACCUAGGACCUGUUGACAUUGUCCCUGGUAUUUCCUGAAGUUUCUAUGCUUGUGUCAAAAGGGAUUCCUAGAGAGCCCGGUAUUGUCAUCCAGACAGCAAACAUUUGGGAUGUACUAUUUCAGUUCCUAAGGCUCCGGCUGUGCAGGAAAUGAAGAGGAACAGGUGCCACCCCUUUCUGCAGAGUCAAAGUGGAGUCAGGUAGCUGCUGCAGUCUAAAAGGAGCUGCAGAAGGCUUUACUCUUAAAGAAUGGGAACAAAGUUGAGAUACAGGGCUCUAGGCCAUUGACCCUGCUCUGAGUACUGAGGAUAAGUCUGGCAUACAACUGGGCUAAGCUAUAUAAGGUUCUUUAGUGUGAUUUCUUGCAUCCACCAUGUGCUAACCCAACACCACUUUCAAUAUGUCUAGAAGUCUGGGUCUUGAGAAUAUAGUCAGGGCCUGGGUUAAACAGGAAGACCAUAUCAAAAGCAGAAAAAGUGCACGAGACAGCUGUCGUGAAUAUGUUUCUCAGUAGUAAAGGCCACAAGUUGGCAUUACCAGUGUUUCACUAAAGCUCCGGCCUGAGAUGCCAGCCUCUCACCCUUGAGUCUAAGAUCAUAGAAAUUUUACACCAAUCACGUAAGUAAUUUCAAGUAGCUACACUACACAGCAAAAAGUGAAAGUAAACAUAACAAUAUAUUCUACAGAACCCAAUAUAUAUAAAGUAUCAUUUAAUGUAAACUUAUAAUUAACAUUUCCGUAUUAAGAUUUUUGGAUCUUGAAUGUAUCUUACAAUUAAGCACACUUUACUGCGGUCUUGGAAGCACGCAAGCGCCGGCAAGAUGAAGUCUUCGUGUCUCCGUGCCUAUUCGUUUUUCAGCUGAAGCCCAGGCAGAUCCCCGCCAUCGCUUCAGAUGUGCUCCGGUGGAAGUCGCUUCCUUCACCUCACUGUGCAGUGUUUACUGAUCCGGGGUCAAUGCCCUGGCGAUGAGGCUUGGACCACACUACAGCGGGAGAAGCUCUCCAUCCUCCCGCUCGCCUGUCCGCCCGCAGCAGGGUCCCGAUCUGCCUGUGCUCCUUCUGGUUCUCGGUACUUGCUGGUUGGCUGCGAGCAAAUAAGACCGACUCGGACCCCAGACGCACGCGGCUCCGGAGUUCAUGGCCGGGGAUCAGAGGCCGGGAUCCAGAGACCUCAGUCCGUGCCGCUCGACCCGAGCGCUCUCAGCGCCGCCAGAACAUACGCAGCUCGCAGACUCCGCUUUCCUCCCUGCGCUACAGCCACGCACAUAUCCCAGCGUCGCCUUCUCAUGGCGUCAAGCACUGCCCGAAACGAAGGCGGGACUUCCGGAAUCGCCGAGUCACAACUUCCGGACGGAGGCGGAAGCGCCUCUCGGCUCUACGCUUCGGAGUCCUGGUGUCUCUGAGGGGGCCGCCGGGGCACAGGAGAGGGCCGCUGGAGGUGUGGCCGACCGCUCUCGGGUGUCAGGGUUGCGGAUCUGAGGGAUGAGGAGCGGCCAUGGCCAGCGACGGGGCCAGGAAGCAGUUCUGGAAGCGCAGCAACAGCAAGGUCCCGGGCAGCAUCCAGCAUGUGUAUGGAGCCCAGCACCCACCGUUUGAUCCGCUGUUACAUGGCACCUUGCUCAAGUCCACGCCCAAGGUGCCCACCACUCCGGUGAAGGCCAAGCGGGUCAGCACCUUCCAGGAGUUUGAGAGCAACACCAGUGAUGCUUGGGAUGCCGGUGAAGACGAUGAUGAGCUCCUGGCCAUGGCGACAGAGAGCCUGAACUCUGAGGUGGUCAUGGAGACAGCACAUCGUGUCCUGCGCAAUCACAGCCAGAGGCAGAGCCAGCCUUCACAGAAGACGACAGAACCAGAGCCAGAGCCUCAGCCCAUAGCAGAGCCUCCUGUACCUCCCAGUGGUGACCUUCGCCUGGUGAAGUCUGUCAGUGAGAGCCACACUCCUUGUCCUUCAGAGAGCACCGGUGAUACAGUCCCUCUGCAACGGUCCCAGUCUCUUCCCCACUCGGCCACAGUGACACUGAGUGGGACAUCUGACCCACAUGCCCUUGCUGACUCAGCCCUGAGUAAGAGAGAGACCUCUCGGCUGGACAAGUUCAAACAGCUGCUUGCUGGCCCCAACACAGACCUUGAGGAAUUACGGAAGCUGAGCUGGUCCGGAAUCCCAAAGCCAGUUCGUCCAAUGACAUGGAAACUUCUCUCAGGUUACCUUCCUGCCAAUGUUGACCGAAGACCAGCCACGCUGCAGAGGAAACAGAAGGAAUACUUUGCUUUCAUUGAGCAUUAUUACAGCUCUAGGAAUGACGAAGUUCACCAGGACACGUAUCGCCAGAUCCAUAUCGACAUCCCUCGGAUGAGCCCGGAAGCGCUGAUUCUUCAGCCCAAGGUGACAGAGAUUUUCGAAAGGAUCUUGUUUAUAUGGGCAAUCCGACACCCUGCCAGUGGAUACGUUCAGGGAAUAAAUGACCUGGUCACUCCGUUCUUCGUGGUCUUCAUUUGCGAGUACACAGGACAACUACACCUUUGCCCAACCUGGGAUUCAGAUGAAAGUGAAGAUGCUGGAAGAGCUUGUGAGCCGGAUUGAUGAGCGAGUCCACCGGCAUCUGGACGGGCAUGAGGUGCGGUACCUGCAGUUUGCCUUCCGCUGGAUGAACAACCUGCUGAUGAGGGAGCUGCCCCUGCGCUGCACCAUCCGCCUGUGGGACACUUACCAGUCUGAACCCGAGGGCUUUUCUCAUUUCCACUUAUAUGUUUGUGCUGCUUUCCUCGUGAGAUGGAGGAGAGAAAUUCUAGAAGAAAGAGAUUUUCAAGAGUUGCUGCUCUUCCUCCAGAACCUGCCUACUGCCCGCUGGGAUGACCAGGAUGUCAGCCUGCUGCUGGCUGAGGCCUAUCGCCUCAAGUUUGCCUUCGCAGACGCCCCCAAUCACUACAAGAAGUGAGCCUGGGGCCCAUGGCAGUGGCCUCACCCUAGGGAUAGCAUCCCCUCUCUGCCUGGGCAGUUGCUGGCCUCUGGACUGGUCCUUUCCUGGUGUGACCUAGCAGAGUGGACCCAGCAUGGUCCAGGGCUGGCAGGAUAGGCAGCCUAGUUUGAUGAGAUACCAAAGAGAGCCCAGGAGAGACUCCUAGCUUCAGAAGCUCAGUGUGGCCAGGAGUGCCCUCACCCUGGCCCUGCCUUGCCAAAUGCCCUCCCUACAGCCCCCAGUCCAGACAGCCAAGAGGAAGUCCCUCAGAGAGCCCUGCUGUACGUACGGGUGCCAGGCAGAGGUGGGCAGCCAUCUCAAGCCUGCUCUCAAUUGCACAAAUCUAUUCUGUCAAGUGAAAGAAUAAAGUCCAGAAAACAAUGCCGAGCAUGACUUAGGCUGAGCUAGGAGUUCUGCACACAGAGCCUUUAAUGGCCCCAUGUUUAGGUUGACUUGGUUUAAACAGGGCUAGGUCAGGAGUUAGAUCCUGGGAGACUGUGGAACAAGAGGAGGCCAGGGCAGGCUGAGGCUUCUCACGGUCACCUUACUUUCUGUUUUUAAUUAACUGGUUCCCUGUCCGGGUGAGGAAAAGGGUCAAGGAACCCCCAGGUGGGCAGGGGUUUUUGUCAGUCAGGGUUCCAGAGAUUGUCUCAUGGGCCCAAACUUGACCGCAACAGGGCAGAAAUUAGUGGUUCUAAAGUCCCAGCCAUGUGUAGGGGGCUUCUUCCUAACACCACCCAGAUGGCAAUAGCCAGGAGCUGCUGGGCUGGCCUCUCUUCAUGCCCUACUGCCCUUUCCAGAGCCACUGGGUUAGAGCCUUUGCCCCGUUGCUGGCCUUCUCCAGGGCCCUCAGACUGGCUUCUCACAUGUAUAUCCCACAGAUGCCCCCACCAGGCUGCCUGGCCUCUGUGAUGUGGGAUCCCCAAGGACCACCAGGCCACCUGUAGGACAAGAGCCUAGACUCCUAGAGCAGCCUCCUGUCCUCAGUUACCCACUGCAGCCCACUCUGACCUGUCCCUUCUUUAGGAGCAGCGCAACACUGCCCAGGCACUAGGACUCUGCCCAGAGGCUGUGGGGAAGACAUAGGGAAGACGUGUGCCUGCUUCUGUUCAGAUGAUCCUGGGUCAGGUGGGAUGUGACAUCAGCAGAGUGCUGUGCAGGCAAUCCGAUGUCCUGGAUCAGCAGAGGGACAUGCUCCCUCAGACCAGUGCCUGUCCUGGGUGAGAGGCACCCAGUUAUAAGGAAAGCUACCUCUGUGGCUCUGGAGAAGCACCAUCUUCCCUGAUCCUUCCAUGGUGCGGAUCACCCCUCAGCCAGAAGGGUAGGCCCAUAACGAUCUGCCCCAUGGUGUUUUUAUGAGAUGACAAGGACCCAUGAGGUUAACUUAAGCCCUGAAUGUAUUUUUAUGUGUGCAAAUGCUUGACUGGGUGUACGAGACGCUGGCGACAGUCCUGUGUCUGAGCCCAUGAGCUGAGCCGGGCAGGAUGUGUGCUUUGAAUGUGAUGUGUUGGAAACACGAAAUAAAGAUGCUUCAUAUGGCC